rnacentral:rRNA from 1 species
GACGGAGGGGGCUAGCGUUGUUCGGAAUCACUGGGCGUAAAGCGUGCGUAGGCGGUUUGACAAGUCAGAAGUGAAAGCCCUGGGCUCAACCCAGGAACUGCUUUUGAUACUGAGAGUCUUGAGUGUGGUAGAGGUUGGUGGAACUGCGAGUGUAGAGGUGAAAUUCGUAGAUAUUCGCAAGAACACCAGUGGCGAAGGCGACUAACUGGACUUUUGGUGACGCUGAGGUGCGAAAGCGUGGGGAGCAAACAGG